GAUGAACGCUAGCUACAGGCUUAACACAUGCAAGUCGAGGGGUAACGAGAGGAAAGCUUGCUUUCCUUGUCGACGACCGGCGCACGGGUGAGUAACGCGUAUCCAACCUGCCCCCAACUAAGGAAUAACCUUGCGAAAGUAAGACUAAUACCUUAUAAUUUCCUCAGAUGUCAUCUGACGAGGAAUAAAGAUUUAUCGGUUGUGGAUGGGGAUGCGUCGGAUUAGCUUGUUGGCGGGGUAACGGCCCACCAAGGCAACGACCAGUAGGGGUUCUGAGAGGAAGGUCCCCCACAUUGGAACUGGGACACGGUCCAAACUCCUACGGGAGGCAGCAGUGAGGAAUAUUGGUCAAUGGGCGGAAGCCUGAACCAGCCAAGUAGCGUGCAGGAUGACGGCCCUAUGGGUUGUAAACUGCUUUUAUACAGGAAUAAAGUUAGCCACGUGUGGUUAUUUGUAGGUACUGUAUGAAUAAGGACCGGCUAAUUCCGUGCCAGCCGCCGCCGUAA
rnacentral:rRNA from 1 species